UUGAUCCUGGCUCAGAUUGAACGCUGGCGGCAGGCCUAACACWUGCAAGUCGAGCGGCAGCACGGGAAGCUUGCUUCCUGGUGGCGAGCGGCGGACGGGUGAGUAAUGCAUAGGAAUCUGCCCGGUAGUGGGGGAUAACCUGGGGAAACCCAGGCUAAUACCGCAUACGCCCUACGGGGGAAAGCAGGGGCUCUUCGGACCUUGCGCUAUCGGAUGAGCCUAUGUCGGAUUAGCUGGUUGGUGAGGUAAUGGCUCACCAAGGCGACGAUCUGUAGCUGGUCUGAGAGGAUGAUCAGCCACAUCGGGACUGAGACACGGCCCGAACUCCUACGGGAGGCAGCAGUGGGGAAUAUUGGACAAUGGGCGCAAGCCUGAUCCAGCCAUGCCGCGUGUGUGAAGAAGGCCCUCGGGUUGUAAAGCACUUUCAGUGGGGAAGAACGCCUUCCGGCUAAUACCCGGGAGGAAAGACAUCACCCACAGAAGAAGCACCGGCUAACUCCGUGCCAGCAGCCGCGGUAAUACGGAGGGUGCGAGCGUUAAUCGGAAUUACUGGGCGUAAAGCGCGCGUAGGUGGCUUGAUAAGCCGGUUGUGAAAGCCCCGGGCUCAACCUGGGAACGGCAUCCGGAACUGUCAGGCUAGAGUGCAGGAGAGGAAGGUAGAAUUCCCGGUGUAGCGGUGAAAUGCGUAGAGAUCGGGAGGAAUACCAGUGGCGAAGGCGGCCUUCUGGACUGACACUGACACUGAGGUGCGAAAGCGUGGGUAGCAAACAGGAUUAGAUACCCUGGUAGUCCACGCCGUAAACGAUGUCGACUAGCCGUUGGGUCCUUCGCGGACUUUGUGGCGCAGUUAACGCGAUAAGUCGACCGCCUGGGGAGUACG
rnacentral:rRNA from 1 species